AGGACAUGACUGUUUGUGGACAGGCCCUAAACUAGGCAGUCAGGGCUCCCAUACACCAUGCAUAGAGCCAGGGCUUGCCCAGCCACUAAGGAACUAAAGACUGUGGGAGAGCUUCCAACAGGAUGACUGUCCUCGAUGUCGCACAUCCACAGCUGUCCCCAUUUUACAGAUGAGAAGAAUCAUCUGUAAAAUGGUAUCAUACCGAUGGUAUCAGCUCACCCAAGUGCACAGACCAGAAUGUACGGAUUGUGCUGUCCCCAAAGCGCCAGAGGUUCUGGGAGCAGGGCAGAUGCCAGGUGGAGGUAGAGCCCAAGGAGGGGCUCAGCUCUCCGUCCUGUCCCUGCCUGGGGCUCCACCCACCCUCUUCCCGCUUUCCCCAGGAGCCUCUGAAGUCAGGAACUCUGAAGUCGGCCUCUUUCUUCUCCAGGCGGUGUAGUGCAGACAAGCCUGACUGGACAGAAGGGUGGGGACCAGAGGUGGGAUCCCCCCACUGCCCACCAGCAGCCCUCACUUCUAGGUUGUCUCAGCCUGGCCAAUGGGGUGCAUAGGGGUUCCCCAGAGCUCUGAGUCCACAGGCUACCCAAAAGCCCUACUGAAGGUAUUGUGGUAGGGCUCCUUCCUUCCAGACCAGGUUCAUGAAUCCCCCAUCUCUCCAGGGACCCCAUGCAGAAGGCAGCACCCAUUCCUUCUGGGAGCCAUGAGGUGGAGGAGUCAGCUGCGUGAGGGCUAUGCAUCCCUGCCUUCUCUGUCAUCCCCACAGACAAAGAAGACCAGAAUGACAUCCCCACCUUGGGCCUCAGUCACCUCCUCUGAGCCUCCAUGAUUCUCUAACAGGACUGGCUGACACAGCCCUACCAUGGUCCUAGUCUAAACUUCGUGUUAAGCACAGGACAGAAGAGCCAGGCUCUUCCUCAGACAGAGAUAUGAAUAAUUCAUCCCUUUGCACUUCAGCACAUUAGGAAAUAACCCAAGCCAGCAACCACAUACGAUACUGCUGGCGAGCGCCAAGGACUCUCUGCUCUCUGGCCAAGCUCUUUCCUCCCAAGGUCACCCAGGAGCAAUCGCGGAGCACUUCCUGAAGCAGUUGGCUCACUAGACAUUUCACACAUGCCAUCCUGUCCGACCCUCACAUGUGUCCCACCGGGCAGCUUCUCUUGUCAUGCCGUUCUGCCCAGGAGAAAGGAGAUGCACAGAGAUGGUAAGCAAGCAGCGACACCCACCUUCCCCUCACGGCUUGUUGGAGCGGCUGACCACACCGUCCCUGCAAUUUCUUCCGUGUAACUAAGACUGCAUCUGGAUCCGUUUUGCUUGCACUGACUUCUUCUGCCUGUCCAGCACCAGGCACAAAGCAGAUACUCAAUGAAUCUUUGUUUUGCCAACAAGUGAGUGAACAAACUCUGCAGCUCUCUCCAAGAAGGUCCACCAUUUUGUCUGGUGAAUUCUAGUCUUCUCUAAAACCUUUUCCUUUUUGCUCUUUGGGAAUUAUCAGCAGACAUUAUAGUCCUUAGGCACAAGCAUUGCUAAGAGACCUAGUUAUUAUAACCGAGGAUGAAAAACCAUGGAUGCACUCAGAAAUGAGAGCUGUGAGGAGCAAGACUGCAGAUGUUCCAUGAUGGUCGUUCAUAUAUGGGGACAACCCCGGGGCCUGAUCUCCAUGUGCCAGCAUCUCAUAGCCAAGGGAGAUAAGCUGUACCACAACUGCAGAAACUGGCACGAACUUGGGCACCAAAGAAUGAAA